rnacentral:rRNA from 1 species
UACAGAGGCCUCGAGCGUUAGGCGGAAUCACUGGGCUUAAAGCGUGUGUAGGCGGACUUCUAAGUACCUUGUGAAAUCCCACAGCUUAACUGUGGAACUGCUUGGUAUACUGGUUGUCUUGAGGUACCUAGGGGCGAGCGGAACAAGUGGUGGAGCGGUGAAAUGCGUAGAUAUCUGGAGGAACACCGGUGGCGAAGGCGGCAUCCUGGACCAACACUGACACUGAGGAGCGAAAGCCAGGGGAGCAAACGGG